CGAUAAGCCUGACAGAAACGAAAAUCCUUUUAAAAGGUUGCACGACUUCGUUGUCCCUCAAACGUUACCUUUUAAAAGAUUGUAGUAAAUGGCAGGACCACAU
rnacentral:sRNA from 1 species